rnacentral:SRP_RNA from 1 species
UGUGCUAGACGGGGAGCUAGCGGUGCCCUGUACCUGCAAUCCGCUAUAGCAGGGUCGAAUGCCCACAUUGAGGUUCAGCCGCCCGAUUUUUCUCGUUGACUUUCCGGUGAUGAGAGUACAAGUCUCUCGCAAUGCAAAGGUGCCCAAUCCCGUCAGGACCGGGAGGUAGCAGCGGUCAGCAUUCUGAACAUGUGCCGGGAGGUAGCUUGUCUUGAACCGGGAGUCGAUAGAGUGGAUCAGGUACAGCGAAUCGAAGGUGGGUGCAC